rnacentral:rRNA from 1 species
AUUGAACGCUGGCGGCAGGCUUAACACAUGCAAGUCGAGCGGAGAGAGGUAGCUUGCUACUGAUCUUAGCGGCGGACGGGUGAGUAAUGCUUAGGAAUCUGCCUAUUAGUGGGGGACAGCAUUUCGAAAGGAAUGCUAAUACCGCAUACGUCCUACGGGAGAAAGCAGGGGAUCUUCGGACCUUGCGCUAAUAGAUGAGCCUAAGUCGGAUUAGCUAGUUGGUGGGGUAAAGGCCUACCAAGGCGACGAUCUGUAGCGGGUCUGAGAGGAUGAUCCGCCACACUGGGACUGAGACACGGCCCAGACUCCUACGGGAGGCAGCAGUGGGGAAUAUUGGACAAUGGGCGGAAGCCUGAUCCAGCCAUGCCGCGUGUGUGAAGAAGGCCUUUUGGUUGUAAAGCACUUUAAGCGAGGAGGAGGCUACUUUAGUUAAUACCUAGAGAUAGUGGACGUUACUCGCAGAAUAAGCACCGGCUAACUCUGUGCCAGCCGCCGCAGUAACAC